rnacentral:lncRNA from 10 species
ACAGCUGUUGGUUAACAUAUGCCUCCUGAUCUUGAUUAAUUGUAGAAUACAGUAGUGAAAAUGUGUCUAUGAUCAUCUCAGAGCACUGUGUGGAUAAAAUGGCUAUCAAAUUAAAAAUCCCUGUUUACCAUACUGAAGACUUCUGACUCUCGAGGCAAAAGAUUACAAGAGAAGAGGCAAAAGUUUUAUUCUCCCAAAAGAAAGUGCACUCACUACAACUUCAUCAUGCUGGAUGAAAUUAGCAGAAGUGAAAUUGAAGCUGAAGAGUCCGGAAAUAGAAGGACUAUUUGGUAAUGAUUUCAGAAGGGAACUAAAAGGCAAUGAAGUGCUCUGAGAAUACUGUAACGUGCUUCAAUGAACAGAUAUAUACUUCUGGAUUUGAAAUAAUUUAGGAACAGAUUCUGCCACACAUCAGUAGCAUUCAGGACUUGGAGAAGACAAGAGAACGGACAGAGGAAGGAUGCCAUCACUCCUGUCUGCUGUCUUUGAAAUUCCCAGGAAUUGGAACUUUGGGCCUCUGUAUUUCUCUCUUCCAAGUCUGGGAACUCCUGAAAAGUAAGAACCACUUUUUAGACUCAUCUGGGUAUCUCCUUGACC